rnacentral:rRNA from 1 species
GUACAGCUCAGGCGUAGCGAAAGCGAGUCUUAAUAGGGCGUUUAGUCGCUGGGUAUAGACCCGAAACCGGGCGAUCUAUCCAUGAGCAGGUUGAAGGUUAGGUAACACUGACUGGAGGACCGAACCCACUCCCGUUGAAAAGGUAGGGGAUGACUUGUGGAUCGGAGUGAAAGGCUAAUCAAGCUCGGAGAUAGCUGGUUCUCCUCGAAAGCUAUUUAGGUAGCGCCUCAUGUAUCACUCUGGGGGGUAGAGCACUGUUUCGGCUAGGGGGUCAUCCCGACUUACCAAACCGAUGCAAACUCCGAAUACCCAGAAGUGCCGAGCAUGGGAGACACACGGCGGGUGCUAACGUCCGUCGUGAAAAGGGAAACAACCCAGACCGCCAGCUAAGGUCCCAAAGUUGUGGUUAAGUGGUAAACGAUGUGGGAAGGCUUAGACAGCUAGGAGGUUGGCUUAGAAGCAGCCACCCUUUAAAGAAAGCGUAAUAGCUCACUAGUCGAGUCGGCCUGCGCGGAAGAUGUAACGGGGCUCAAACCACACACCGAAGCUGCGGGUGUCACGUAAGUGACGCGGUAGAGGAGCGUUCUGUAAGCCUGUGAAGGUGAGUUGAGAAGCUUGCUGGAGGUAUCAGAAGUGCGAAUGCUGACAUGAGUAACGACAAUGGGUGUGAAAAACACCCACGCCGAAAGACCAAGGGUUCCUGCGCAACGUUAAUCGACGCAGGGUUAGUCGGUUCCUAAGGCGAGGCUGAAAAGCGUAGUCGAUGGGAAACAGGUUAAUAUUCCUGUACUUCUGGUUACUGCGAUGGAGGGACGGAGAAGGCUAGGCCAGCUUGGCGUUGGUUGUCCAAGUUUAAGGUGGUAGGCUGAAAUCUUAGGUAAAUCCGGGGUUUCAAGGCCGAGAGCUGAUGACGAGUCGUCUUUUAGAUGACGAAGUGGUUGAUGCCAUGCUUCCAAGAAAAGCUUCUAAGCUUCAGGUAACCAGGAACCGUACCCCAAACCGACACAGGUGGUCGGGUAGAGAAUACCAAGGCGCUUGAGAGAACUCGGGUGAAGGAACUAGGCAAAAUGGCACCGUAACUUCGGGAGAAGGUGCGCCGGCUAGGGUGAAGGAUUUACUCCGUAAGCUCUGGCUGGUCGAAGAUACCAGGCCGCUGCGACUGUUUAUUAAAAACACAGCACUCUGCAAACACGAAAGUGGACGUAUAGGGUGUGACGCCUGCCCGGUGCCGGAAGGUUAAUUGAUGGGGUUAGCGCAAGCGAAGCUCUUGAUCGAAGCCCCGGUAAACGGCGGCCGUAACUAUAACGGUCCUAAGGUAGCGAAAUUCCUUGUCGGGUAAGUUCCGACCUGCACGAAUGGCGUAACGAUGGCGGCGCUGUCUCCACCCGAGACUCAGUGAAAUUGAAAUCGCUGUGAAGAUGCAGUGUAUCCGCGGCUAGACGGAAAGACCCCGUGAACCUUUACUGUAGCUUUGCACUGGACUUUGAGCCUGCUUGUGUAGGAUAGGUGGGAGGCUUUGAAGCGUGGACGCCAGUUCGCGUGGAGCCAUCCUUGAAAUACCACC